UGGGAGUGUUUGUCGUCGGGGUGU
rnacentral:piRNA from 1 species